ensembl:snRNA U2 U2 spliceosomal RNA
AGCGAUUCUCGGCCUUUUGGCUAAGAUCAAGUGUGGUAUCUGUUCUUACCAGUUUAACAUCUGAUGCGUCCUCUAUCUGAGAACAAUGUAUUCCACUGAUUUUGGGAGUGGGAGCUGGAAUGGGAGCUUGCUGUGUGUACUCCACGCAUCAUUUCCCUGGUCCCUGGGUGUUGAACAGGGUUGAUGUACUUGGA